UACGUAGGGUGCGAGCGUUGUCCGGAAUUAUUGGGCGUAAAGGGCUCGUAGGCGGUUUGUCGCGUCGGGAGUGAAAACCUCGGGCUUAACUCGGGGCUUGCUUUCGAUACGGGCAGACUAGAGGUAUGCAGGGGAGAACGGAAUUCCUGGUGUAGCGGUGAAAUGCGCAGAUAUCAGGAGGAACACCGGUGGCGAAGGCGGCUUUCUGGACAAAUACCGACGCUGAGGCACGAAAGCUAGGGGAGCAAACAGG
rnacentral:rRNA from 1 species